ensembl:snoRNA
UGGAGAACUGAGAAGAUGAGGCAGCUCGGUAAUGAGCUGCCAUCCACUGAUGAAAGCCCACGAAAGUGAAGGGUCGCCAGGGCAGAGGAUGUCCCUCUGCCACCUUCAGAGGGGCAGUGCCCUGCUGGCCGACAUUGU